CUGGUCUAGGGUCUCCAACACCUGCAGAGUCAGUGCCCGCUAUUUGCGGAAGGAAUCAAUGACAUUUUUGGGAGGGCUCCGAGGACACAUGAGCUGAGGUCAGGCUUUAGCCUGCCGUGGCCACCCUGAAGAAGGAGACAUAGGGGAAUAGCAGCUGAUCACCCCCCGCAUUCAGGGGGUCGAGAUUCCAGCAGACAAGGACCCCGAGACUCAUCCCCGCUUGUCCACCAGCAGCCGUGUCGCCCCUGUGUGUCCGGCUCCUGCUUCCGGGACACAGGGCAGGAGAUCGCGGCAGCCGGGUCAGCAGAGGGAGCAGGCUGCCGCCGACCCCUCUUUGGAUGACGUUCCCGUGGUGCUGGCGGGUCGCUGUGCCUGGGAAAGAGAAGCCGAGGCCCAGAAUACAGGGCCGGAUGACCAGGUGGCCUUGCCACGUCCCAGUUCCCCGGAGAAGCAGGCAGGGGCUCUGCAGGGAAGGGGCGAGGCCGGGAGAGU